UGAACCUGCGGAAGGAUCAUUGUCGAAACCUGCAAAGCAGACCGCGAACUAGUGUUUUAACCACCCGGGGGCCACGACGUGGGCGAAUCCUCCCGCCGUCGACCCCAUCCCCGUCCGACGCGCUCCCGAGCGUGUCGUGGCGGCCAACGAACCCCGGCGCGGAACGCGCCAAGGAAAACCGAAACGAAGCGUCAGCCUCCCGCCGACCCCGUUCGCGGUGCGCUCGGGCGGGGGGACGAGGCGUCUCUUGAAUGUCAAAACGACUCUCGGCAACGGAUAUCUCGGCUCUCGCAUCGAUGAAGAACGUAGCGAAAUGCGAUACUUGGUGUGAAUUGCAGAAUCCCGUGAACCAUCGAGUCUUUGAACGCAAGUUGCGCCCGAAGCCGUCAGGCCAGGGCACGUCUGCCUGGGCGUCACGCACAGCGUCGCCCCCUCUCCCUCUCCCACGGAGCGGCGGCGGAGGGGGCGGACAUUGGCCUCCCGUGCUCCCUCGGGCACGGCCGGCCCAAAUGCGAUCCCUCGGCGACGCACGUCGCGACCAGUGGUGGUUGAAAACUCAACUCGCGUGCUGGCUGUCGUGUUCAACGACGUCGUCCGAUCGGGCAUCGAGAGCGACCCAACGGCGCGAUGCGCCUUCGACCGCGACCCCAGGUCAGGCGGGAUCACCCG
rnacentral:rRNA from 2 species